AUUGAACGCUGGCGGCAGGCCUAACACAUGCAAGUCGAACGAGUGGCGGACGGGUGAGUAAUGUCUGGGAAACUGCCCGAUGGAGGGGGAUAACUCCUGGAAACGGUAGCUAAUACCGCAUACACUCGGAUGUGCCCAGAUGGGAUUAGCUAUUAGGUGGGGUAACGGCGCACCUAGGCGACGAUCACUCGCUGGUCUGAGAGGAUGACCAUCCACAGUGGAACUGAGACACGGGCCAGACUCCUACGGGAGGCAGCAGUGGGGAAUAUUGCACAAUGGGCGCACGCCUGAUGCAGCCAUGCCGCGUGUAUGAAGAAGGCCUUCGGGUUGUAAAGUACUGUCAGCGGGGAGGCGUUACCCGCAGAAGAAGCACCGGCUAACUCCGUGCCAGCAGCCGCGGUAAUUC
rnacentral:rRNA from 1 species